GAACAUGCAUGGUUGAACAAAUACAGCACAGCUAUAACAUCUACUUGUAUCUUGUAGUUAAUGAUUCAAGACUGUCCUAAGUUCAAAUAUCCAGGUCAGCCAAAACAAGGUCCUCUAGGCCAUGUAUACAAGCUUGAUUAUUAUGAUAAUUCCUACUAAAGGCUUAAGAUUCAUUUUUCUUUGUAUAAAUUCUUCCCUCCAAAAUGAAAAGGAUGCAGAAAUUCCUAUACAUGAGUGGUAAAUCAACAUCAUCAUUUAAUAUAUUCUAUGUUACAGCUCAUUUUAAUCACCAAUACGGUAUAUACGCUCUGAUAUUUAAAUUUAUAGACAAAUUCGUAUCUCCAUAAAGUUUGAUAUUUAAAUUAAUGGACAAGAUACAUGUCUCCAUAAUAUAUGGAGUUAUGUGCUUUAAAAAUUUAAAUGAUAAGAGACUAAAAAAAUACAAAUGUACUCAUGUAAUCAGAAGAAUUGAAACUGGAAUUCCAAAACUAAAAGAUGAAUUUCAAGAAUGUUAAAAAAUAAAGCUAUUAUCAUUUGAAUAAAGAAAAGAUACUUGAAAAAUAAUACCAAUAAUAGUAACAGAUUUUUACUAAGACCUAUAUAUAGCACCCA
rnacentral:lncRNA from 1 species